rnacentral:rRNA from 1 species
UAGAGUUUGAUCCUGGCUCAGAUUGAACGCUGGCGGCAGGCUUAACACAUGCAAGUCGAGCGGGGGAGAUUACUUCGGUAAUUGACCUAGCGGCGGACGGGUGUAGUAAUACUUAGGAAUCUGCCUAUUAAUGGGGGACAACAUCUCGAAAGGGAUGCUAAUACCGCAUACGCCCUACGGGGGAAAGCAGGGGAUCACUUGUGACCUUGCGUUAAUAGAUGAGCCUAAGUCGGAUUAGCUAGUUGGUGGGGUAAAGGCCUACCAAGGCGACGAUCUGUAGCGGGUCUGAGAGGAUGAUCCGCCACACUGGGACUGAGACACGGCCCAGACUCCUACGGGAGGCAGCAGUGGGGAAUAUUGGACAAUGGGGGGAACCCUGAUCCAGCCAUGCCGCGUGUGUGAAGAAGGCCUUAUGGUUGUAAAGCACUUUAAGCGAGGAGGAGGCUCUUCUAGUUAAUACCUAGGAUGAGUGGACGUUACUCGCAGAAUAAGCACCGGCUAACUCUGUGCCAGCAGCCGCGGUAAUACAGAGGGUGCGAGCGUUAAUCGGAUUUACUGGGCGUAAAGCGUGCGUAGGCGGCUUUUUAAGUCGGAUGUGAAAUCCCCGAGCUUAACUUGGGAAUUGCAUUCGAUACUGGGAAGCUAGAGUAUGGGAGAGGAUGGUAGAAUUCCAGGUGUAGCGGUGAAAUGCGUAGAGAUCUGGAGGAAUACCGAUGGCGAAGGCAGCCAUCUGGCCUAAUACUGACGCUGAGNUACGAAAGCAUGGGGAGCAAACAGGAUUAGAUACCCUGGUAGUCCAUGCCGUAAACGAUGUCUACUAGCCGUUGGGGCCUUUGAGGCUUUAGUGGCGCAGCUAACGCGAUAAGUAGACCGCCUGGGGAGUACGGUCGCAAGACUAAAACUCAAAUGAAUUGACGGGGGCCCGCACAAGCGGUGGAGCAUGUGGUUUAAUUCGAUGCACCCCGAAAAACCUUACCUGGUCUUGACAUANUAAGAACUUUCCANANAUGGAUUGGUGCCUUC